rnacentral:rRNA from 1 species
GACAGAGGUCCCGAGCGUUAGGCGGAAUCACUGGGCUUAAAGCGUGUGUAGGCGGAUUCCUAAGUACCUUGUGAAAUCCCACGGCUCACCCGUGGAACUGCUUGGUAUACUGGGUGUCUUGAGCCACUUAGGGGCUACCGGAACAAAUGGUGGAGCGGUGAAAUGCGUAGAUAUCAUUUGGAACGCCAAUGGUGAAAACAGGUAGCUGGGAGUGUGCUGACGCUGAGACACGAAAGCCAGGGGAGCAAACGGG